UACGUAGGGGGCAAGCGUUAUCCGGAAUUACUGGGCGUAAAGCGCACGCAGGCGGUUCGCCAAGUUUGGAGUGACAGUUGUCGGCUCAACCGACAAAGGACUUCAAAACUGGUGAACUUGAGGACGAGAGGGGAACAUGGAACUCCAGGUGUAGUAAGUGAAAUGCGUAGAUAUCUGGAAGAACACCAAUGGCGAAGGCAAUGUUCUGGCUCGUUUCUGACGCUCAGGUGCGAAAGCUAGGGGAGCGACAGGA
rnacentral:rRNA from 1 species